rnacentral:rRNA from 1 species
ACUCAAAUGAAUUGACGGGGGCCCGCACAAGCGGUGGAGUAUGUGGCUUAAUUCGAUGCAACGCGAAGAACCUUACCUGGGUUUGACAUGCACGUAGUAGAAGCUUGAAAGAGUAACGAGGUAGCAAUAUCAGCGUGGACAGGUGCUGCAUGGCUGUCGUCAGCUCGUGUCGUGAGAUGUUGGGUUAAGUCCCGCAACGAGCGCAACCCUCAUGAUUAUUUGCCCGCAAGGGAUCUAUAGUCAGACUGCCCUGUUUAACGGGGAGGAAGGUGGGGACGACGUCAAGUCAGGAUGGCCCUUAUAUCCAGGGCUGCACACGUACUACAAUGGCGAGUACAGAAGGAUGCAAGACCGCAAGGUGGAGCUAAUCCCAAAAACUCGCCUCAGUUCAGAUUAUAGGCUGCAACUCGCCUAUAUGAAGUUGGAAUCGCUAGUAAUGGCGCAUCAGCAUUUGGCGCCGUGAAUACGUUCCCGGGCCUUGUACACACCGCCCGU